rnacentral:rRNA from 1 species
CCCGGCGACCGGCGCACGGGUGAGUAACACGUAUGCAACCUGGCCGCCACAGGGGGAUAACCCGCGGAGACGCGGCCUAAUACCCCGUGACGCCACCGGAGGGCAUCCUCCGGUGGCCAAAGGAGCGAUCCGGUGGCGGAUGGGCAUGCGGCGCAUUAGCUAGACGGCGGGGUGACGGCCCACCGUGGCGACGAUGCGUAGGGGUUCUGAGAGGAAGGCCCCCCACACUGGGACUGAGACACGGCCCAGACUCCUACGGAAGGCAGCAG